ensembl:lncRNA
GGUUAGGAAAGCAAACUCCCCAUAAACUCGGAGAUUUUCCAGUGACCUUUCCAAAAGACUCGAAAUUAUUUCUGGCCUGUUGGUUGGCUCAGGCUCCAUCCUUGGAUUUCCCAUGCAUCCUCAUCAUUCUGGUGAUCGUGUUCUGAGAAAAACCUGGAAGGAAGACAAACUCAAACUGGCCUGAGAAGGACCUGAUAAGACUGUAACCUGCCAGGAUCCUCUGUCCAUGGGAUUCCCCAGGCAACAAUACUGGAGUGGGUUGCCAUUUUCUUCUCCAGAAGAUCUUCCCGAUCCAGGGAUCAAACCAGCGUCUCAUGGGUCUCAUGCCUUGGAGGCAGAUUCUUUACCACUGAGCCACCAAGGAAGCCCGUAUGUGUCAUGAUAGGAGGUCAAUGUUGUACUUUCAUACCCAACCAUGCCGCCCCUUAUGGCACAACAAGAGCCCUGCAAAGUCUUACUACCUUGGCUAAUGUGUUGGCUGAAAAUUCAGGGAUAGAUAAUCCUUUCUCCAUCCUGAUUGUAUUUCCAUUUGUACAUCCAAGUACAUCCCAAAUGUAUUCCCAUUUGCUCUCCUGACCUCCCUAAUCAUUGUAUUUGGAGGAUGGCCCUAGUAGGAUGUUGUAUAAUUCCAUGUAUUAGAGGUCUUGUGUUAAGAAUAAUAGAAACUGCCCUUUCUAAACAGUCUGCAAAAGACCAUCAGAACAACUCUUACUAUUAGACACCUUGGAACAUGAACUCCAGACCUUCCAUAGGUCAUUUACUCUCUGGGCCUCAGGUUCUUACCUGUGAAUUGAGGAAAUAAAAUAAUGACCUGUAAAGCCCCUUCCAGCUCUAAAAGUUCUCUGGUUAGUGCAAGAGGCACUACUCAGAGCCAUGAUCUCAUGCAAAAACAUUUCAUACUUUUCCCUUGUCUAGACCAAUGUGAUGUCUGAAAUGACACACGAUCCCUUUUUUUUUUUUUUGGAAGAAUGUUAUAAUACUUUUAGUAUGUGUAAAAUGAGUUUACAGUAAACAUUUUCAAGCUUUUCCAAG